rnacentral:rRNA from 1 species
UACGUAGGGUGCAAGCGUUGUCCGGAAUUAUUGGGCGUAAAGAGCUCGUAGGCGGUCUGUCGCGUCGGCUGUGAAAACUCGGGGCUCAACUCCGAGCUUGCAGUUGAUACGGGCAGGCUAGAGUUCGGCAGGGGAGACUGGAAUUCCUGGUGUAGCGGUGAAAUGCGCAGAUAUCAGGAGGAACACCGGUGGCGAAGGCGGGUCUCUGGGCCGAUACUGACGCUGAGGAGCGAAAGCGUGGGGAGCGAACAGG